CCUCAAACGGGCUUAGCUCCAUUAUAAUAAGAUUAUUGUAUUCUGAUGUUAAAUACAGACAAAAACUAAACUGAAUGAGAACUGCAGUAAUAGAAUCUUGGUCUACCCGACGGAAUGUCGAAUACAGCAGAUCGCUUCGUCAAAGUCAGUCGAACGAAGUCUCAACACUUAGCAUAUAGCAUCAGUCUAGAUCCACAAUUUUACAUAGAACCUAGAGGAUAAUGCAUCAGUAUAUUUCUGAAAUGCUUACUUAAUGAAAUAAAAUGCAGAAAAAUACAAUGCUUUGGUCAAUUAAAACAACAGGAGGCCAUUGUGAAAGAGGUGCAGGGAGGAAGGAUGUAGGACAGGAGAGCCAGGGGAACAUGGAUGGACAACAUAAAAGCAUGGACUAGCCUGCUGGGUACAGCAGAAUGUACAAUGGAAGCUCACAACCGUGAAGGAUGGAGGGUCAUUACACGUCAACCUUUAAGUCAGAGAUGACGCCUGCUGGUAUUCCAGUCUCGACCAGCCUUGCUGCGAGUGAUUGACACUGCGCUGUUAAAUGGACAUAAAGAUGUGAACCCACCUAGGCCUACCUCCCCACAAGCAAAAUAAAAUUGAAUUGUAAAAAAUCUCAACAGCCAGAAAAA